GGGUUGUGGUGGAGAUUGCCUAUCUUCACCAAACUCAUUGCCUCCUUUCUCCUGGCACAGAGCUGCACUGUAUUUUGCAGGCUCUGUUGAAGUUACAUCGCUGGUAAGCACUGGCCAAGUAAUUGAGUUACAGCCAAAGGGUGAUUAGAAGUGACGUGUGCCACCUCUACAUCUGAUCCACAAAACCUCCCAUUCCCCCAGGCUCUUCCCUGCUGCCAGUUCGAAGCAGAUGGGUGUGGCAGCUUGAAGUCACAUGUGAAGUUGAUGGUACCACAGGAUGGAGGGAGCACAGGUUCCUGAAUCUCUUCUUGGAGAAGGCCCAUCUGCUCACCAGGAAUCCCAUUUGAGACUCUACAUGAGAAAUACACGUCUAUUAUUGGAGCAAUUACAAAUUUCAGAGUUUGCUACAGCAGGUGACUUCAUCCAAAAUAACUUCCCAUCUGGCUAGGGCUGCCUUGGAGAAAUAUCUUCUCAGCUAGGAGGUUCUUCAGUCUCAAGAGGCUUCCUGAAUCAGAAUGCUUUAUGUCCUUGGGCUAUGAUAAAGUGCCAUUGCUGCUGAUCCAUCAUUCUACCAGGAGGCAAACCCCAGCAGAUGGUAAAUCCCCAGUUCUUGCUCUUGCUCUCUGGAGCUCCUCAGAUGAGGAAGGUGAGGCACAGAGAGGUUUAAUGACCUGCCAAAAGUUACAGAGCAGUUGCAGAAGCAGGAUUCGAACCCCGGCAAUCUGGCUCUAGAUUGCCACAUUACCCUUAGCAGUCCUGCUCUCACGCAAGGCCGCCCUGGAAGGACAGGAAGAAGAACCCUCUGAGCCGCGAGAAGGUGCUCCGAGAACCCUCAAG
rnacentral:lncRNA from 10 species